rnacentral:rRNA from 1 species
AACGAACGCUGGCGGCGUGGCUAAGGCAUGCAAGUCGAGCGGACGUGUUCCAAGGGUAACUGCGGGACACGUUAGCGGCGAACGGGUGAGGAAUUCAUGGAUAACGUACCUCGGACACAGGGAUAGCGGCGGGGGAAACCCCUUUGCGAAAGUGCCGGUAAUACCUGAUGACCCCGCGGGAUCGCAUGAUCGUGCGGGCAAAGGUCCGCCGGUCCGAGAUCGGUCCAUGACCUAUCAGCUAGUUGGUGAGGUAACGGCCCACCAAGGCUUUGACGGGUAUCGGGCGUGAGAGCGCGGCCCGACACAUCGGCACUGAGACACUGGCCGGACACCUACGGGUGGCUGCAGCAACGAAUAUUCCGCAAUGGGCGCAAGCCUGACGGAGCGACGCCGCGUGCAGGAUGAAGUCCCUCGGGAUGUAAACUGCUGUCGAGGGGUGAGGAACAUUGACCAGCCCCAGAGGAAGCACCGGCUAACUCCGUCGCCA